rnacentral:rRNA from 1 species
AGAGUUUGAUCCUGGCUCAGAACGAACGCUGGCUGCAGGCCUAACACAUGCAAGUCGAACGCCCUCUUCGGAGGGAGUGGCAGACGGGUGAGUAACGCGUGGGAAUCUACCUAGUGGUGGAGGAUAACUUCGGGAAACCGGAGCUAAUACUCCAUAAGCCCUUCGGGGGAAAGUUUUUUCGCCAUUAGAUGAGCCCGCGUUAGAUUAGCUUGUUGGUAGGGUAAUGGCCUACCAAGGCGACGAUCUAUAGCUGGUCUGAGAGGAUGAUCAGCCACACUGGAACUGAGACACGGUCCAGACUCCUACGGGAGGCAGCAGUGGGGAAUAUUGCACAAUGGGCGCAAGCCUGAUGCAGCCAUGCCGCGUGUGUGAUGAAGGCCUUAGGGUUGUAAAACACUUUCAUCGGUGAAGAUAAUGACGGUAGCCGAAGAAGAAGCCCCGGCUAACUCCGUGCCAGCAGCCGCGGUAAUACGGAGGGGGCAAGCGUUGUUCGGAAUUACUGGGCGUAAAGCGCACGUAGGCGGACUGAUCAGUUGGGGGUGAAAUCCCGAGGCUUAACCUCGGAACUGCCUUCAAUACUGUCAGUCUUGAGAUCGGAAGAGGUGAGUGGAAUUCCUAGUGUAGAGGUGAAAUUCGUAGAUAUUAGGAAGAACACCAGUGGCGAAGGCGGCUCACUGGUCCGAGUCUGACGCUGAGGUGCGAAAGCGUGGGGAGCGAACAGGAUUAGAUACCCUGGUAGUCCACGCCGUAAACGAUGAGAGCUAGCCGUCGGACAGUAUACUGUUCGGUGGCGCAGUUAACGCAUUAAGCUCUCCGCCUGGGGAGGUACGGUCGCAAGAUUAAAACUCAAAGGAAUUGACGGGGGCCCGCACAAGCGGUGGAGCAUGUGGUUUAAUUCGAAGCAACGCGAAGAACCUUACCAGCUCUUGACAUACCAAUCGCGGAUCGUAGAGAUACUUUCCUUCAGUUCGGCUGGAUUGGAUACAGGUGCUGCACGGCUGUCGUCAGCUCGUGUCGUGAGAUGUUGGGUUAAGUCCCGCAACGAGCGCAACCCUCGCCAUUAGUUGCCAGCAUUUAGUUGGGCACUCUAAUGGGACUGCCGGUGAUAAGCCGGAGGAAGGUGGGGACGACGUCAAGUCAUCAUGGCCCUUACGGGCUGGGCUACACACGUGCUACAAUGGCAGUGACAAUGGGCAGCCAACCAGCGAUGGUGAGCUAAUCCCAAAAAGCUGUCUCAGUUCGGAUUGUUCUCUGCAACUCGAGAGCAUGAAGUUGGAAUCGCUAGUAAUCGNGGAUCAGCAUGCUACGGUGAAUACGUUCCCGGGCCUUGUACACACCGCCCGUCACACCAUGGGAGUUGGUUUUACCCGAAGACUGUGUGCUAACCCGCAAGGGAAGCAGCAGGCCACGGUAGGGUCAGCGACUGGGGUGAAGUCGUAACAAGGUAGCCGUAGGGGAACCUGCGGCUGGAUCACCUCCUUUCUG